ACUAACAAGGAUUCCCCUAGUAACUGCGAGUGAAGCGGGAAAAGCUCAAAUUUAAAAUCUGGCAGUCUCUGGCUGUCCGAGUUGUAAUCUAGAGAAGUAAUGCUCGUGCUGGACCGUGUACAAGUCUCCUGGGAUGGAGCGUCAUAGAGGGUGAGAAUCCCGUCUUUGACACGGACUACCAGUGCAUUGUGGUAUGCUCUCAAAGAGUCGAGUUGUUUGGGAAUGCAGCUCAAAAUGGGUGGUAAAUUCCAUCUAAAGCUAAAUAUUGGCGAGAGACCGAUAGCGAACAAGUACCGUGAGGGAAAGAUGAAAAGAACUUUGGAAAGAGAGUUAAACAGUACGUGAAAUUGCUGAAAGGGAAACGCUUGAAGUCAGUCGCGUUGGCCAGAAAUCAGCCUUGGUUCUCCUGGGUGUACUUUCUGGUUGACGGGUCAGCAUCAAUUUUGACCGCUGGAAAAAGACAUGGGGAAUGUGGCAGCUUCGGCUGUGUUAUAGCCCCUAGUCGCAUACAGUGGUUGGGAUUGAGGAACUCAGCACGCCGCAAGGCCGGGUUUCGACCACGUUCGUGCUUAGGAUGCUGGCAUAAUGGCUUUAAGCGACCCGUCUUGAAACACGGACCAAGGAGUCUAACAUGCCUGCGAGUAUUUGGGUGGAAAACUCAAAUGCGUAAUGAAAGUGAAAGUUGAGAUCCCUGUCGUGGGGAGCAUCGACGCCCGGACCAGAACUUUUGGGACGGAUCCGCGGUGGAGCAUGUAUGUUGGGACCCGAAAGAUGGUGAACUAUGCCUGAAUAGGGUGAAGCCAGAGGAAACUCUGGUGGAGGCUCGUAGCGAUUCUGACGUGCAAAUCGAUCGUCAAAUUUGGGUAUAGG
rnacentral:rRNA from 1 species